rnacentral:rRNA from 1 species
UACGGGGGGGGCAAGCGUUGUUCGGAAUUAUUGGGCGUAAAGCGCACGUAGGCGGUUCGUUAAGUCGGAUGUGAAAGCCCUCGGCUCAACUGAGGAAGUGCACCCGAAACUGGCGAGCUUGAGUACGAAAAAGGAUCGCGGAAUUCCCGGUGUAGAGGUGAAAUUCGUAGAUAUCGGGAGGAACACCGGUGGCGAAGGCGGCGAUCUGGGUCGAUACUGACGCUGAGGUGCGAAAGCGUGGGGAGCAAACAGG